rfam:Loxodonta africana unplaced genomic scaffold scaffold_16, whole genome shotgun sequence.
GCGUUGGUAGUUCAGUGGUAGAACUCUUGCCUUCCGUGCAGGAGGCCUGGGUUCCAUUCCCAGCCAAUGUA